rnacentral:rRNA from 1 species
AGUGAACGCUGGCGGUAGGCCUAACACAUGCAAGUCGAACGGCAGCACAGUAAGAGCUUGCUCUUACGGGUGGCGAGUGGCGGACGGGUGCGGAAUACAUCGGAAUCUUCUUUUUCGUGGGGGAUAACGUAGGGAAACUUACGCUAAUACCGCAUACGACCUACGGGUUAAAGCAGGGGAUCUUCGGACCUUGCGCGUUUGAUUUAGCCGGUGUCGGAUUAGCUAGUUGGCGGGGUAAUGGCCCGCCAAGGCGACGAUCCGUAGCUUGUCUGAUAGGAUGGGCGGCCACCCUGGAACUGAGAGACGUACCAGACUCCUACGGGAGGCAGGAGGGGGGAAUAUGGGACAAUGGGUGCAAGCAUGACCCAGCCAUACCGGGUGGGUGAAGAAGGCCUGCGGGUGGGAAAGCCCUUUUGUUGGGAAAGAAAAGCAGCAGGUUAAGACCCCGGUGUUCUGCCGGAACCCAAAGAAUAAGCACCGCCUACUAUGGU